rnacentral:rRNA from 1 species
UACGGAGGGAGCGAACGUUGUUCGGAUUUACUGGGCGUAAAGGGCGUGUAGGCGGCUCCGUAAGUCAGGGGUGAAAUGUCCCGGCUCAACCGGGAACCUGCCUUUGAAACUGCGGUGCUCGAGGUCGUGAGAGGAGACUGGAAUUCCUAGUGUAGCGGUGAAAUGCAUAGAUAUUAGGAAGAACACCAGUGGCGAAGGCGAGUCUCUGGCACGAACCUGACGCUGAAACGCGAAAGCUAGGGGAGCAAACGGG